rnacentral:lncRNA from 10 species
AAAAUUGUAAGGAUAUGUUUAGAUUAGCCACCAAUGCUUAAUUGUCCUCUAAGGUAAUAAUGUCUUUGUCUAAUUUUACCUUUCCACUUAUUUUCUUAUCAAAAUGUUGAUAGCUAGGGAUUGCCAGAGGGUCUGAACUCAGUGACACCUUCCCACCUGAAGGUCAAGGGCUGUCUGCAGCCCCUGGUGGAACCCUGGUUGCCGACAUCAGUCCUUCCGCUUAGAGCAGUUCUUGUGCAGUCUUUGAUGCAAGGUAAUUUUGGAAGAAUUGCUUCAAGGAUGUUCAAUGGUGACUGCUACCGAUUGCAGCCUGGGGCUGCAGACAGCCCUUGACCUUCA